AGAAAGUAUUGCUUGGUAAUUGUGGAUGACUAUUCUAGAUACACGUGGGUGUAUUUUUUCAAGAGGAAGAGUGAGACCCAACAAACAGUCAUUGACUUUGCAAAUGAAGCCCAACGUCAACACAAUGCAAAGAUCUUGACUAUAAGAAGUGACAACGGCACCGAGUUCAAGAACUACACCCUGGAUGAGUUUCUUAGUGAUGAGGGGAUCAAACAUCAAUAUUCCGCACCUUACACCCCUCAACAAAAUGGUGUUGCGGAGAGGAAGAACCGGACGUUGAUGGAUGCGGCAAGGACCAUGAUGGCGGAGUUCAAGUCUCCAUACAACUUUUGGGCCGAAGCCAUCAACACCGCGUGUCAUGCUUCAAAU
rnacentral:rRNA from 1 species